ACAAGUCCCCAAAUACAAACUACUUUGACCACUUGGCCACCAAGUCCCCAAAUACAAACUACUGUAAAUUUAGAAAUUAAUGUGAGGUCUUUAUUAUUACGAAUAACGCGACAUAGUUGUUAACACAAUAAUUAUAACUUGCAUUUUGUAAUAUUUUAUCUGAAUUAAGCAGGAUUUUUCUCAAAAUUGUAAAAAUUAAAAUUGCAUUCAAGUUUAAAAUGACAAAAUCAAAAUAAUAAAUGCACGCAAUAUUUUCUGAAUAUACAGUACUUUGACCACUUGGCCACCAAGUCCCCAAAUACAAACUACUUUGAUCACUUUGCCACAAGCCUCAAAAUUCAAACUACUGCAACCACUUGAACCAAGUCCCCAAUUAUAAACUACUUUGACCACUCAGUCAACAAUUGCGCAAAUUCAAACCGCUUUGACCCUUCACUUCACUAAAUACAAACAAAGAGACUAUAAGAAGAGUUCUUAGAUAUUUCAUUGUAUUAAGAAUUAUUACAGUAUAUAAAAAUGUACAAACAACAAGACUACAACAUAACUAACAAUUAGGGGGAAGGAAUCAAACUUGUGUAGUGAGUAUUAGCAUGCAUCUAACAUAUUUUAUUUUCUAAUAUACCAAAUACAAUUCAAAAUAUUUUUUUUUGUAAUUAGGAAAUAUUUGAUUUAUUCAAGUGAAAGAAAUCUAAAUUGUUUUUCUUUUCAGAUGUUUUAGAAAAAUCUAUUAACAGAGUAAACAUAAAUAGAUUGUUUUCUUUUUAAAAAAAAAUCUUUCAAAGUCUUCCUGGUAUGUCAUACUUAGUCAUUUUGUAAGUUAAUUCAUAGUCAUUGCUAUAUUCGUUACAUACACUAUAUAGUUUGAUGAUAGUAUUAUACAGUUAUUAUGAGGCUUUAGCAAUAACACAGGUAAAAUACAUAAUAAUACUAUAAGUAUUUAAAUCAAAGCUCUACUUCCUAUGUGCAACUUCAAAACUUUUGGGUCAUUCAGCGAUCAUUUAAGGUUUUUCUGGUCAUUUUUUUGUAAUCCAGAAUUAAAAGUAUGAGAAAACUGUCCAAUUUGUUAUAAAUAACAUAAUUUCCAGCUAGAUAAUAACAAUGGCAAAUAUUUCAGCAUUUAUUUGGUAGAACACAAAUCUAGGGUGCUCGCAUAAGGCAGCUUAACUGCCUAAAAAUGCCAUCUUUUGGUUUACUAGAUGGGUGAAUUUAUUUGAAUUAUGGUCAUCCUGGAUAUUUAUAAUAUAAUAGAUCAAAUUAUUAAGCAAUAUCUUAUUCAUAUCUAUGAAUUGAUUUCAUCACUAAACUGAAUUAGAGUAAAUGUUUAAUUCAUGUAGGUACAAAAUGUAUAUGCAAACGGUAUAUCUAUUUACUUUUUUCUAUUUAGACAACCUAGCAAUCUUAAUAAACAACAGAACAUUUUACAUCUUAUUCACAAAUAACACAACCUCCUAUUAUAUACUAUUUUUUAAUCAAAUUUUGAUUUAUCACUUAGAGAGGAUAAAUUAAUACUGGUAUCUAGGUAAGGUUCAGAAGACAAGAAUAAGGGGUUGGGUGGUUACAAUACGUAUCAAUAGGUCAUAUAUUACAUGGUUAAGUUGGACUGAGCUGCCAUUAACUCCAAGUAUGAAUGAUUGGACAUGGAUUAAGCAUAAGGAUAGUUUGCCAGUGUUAAUUUUACAUUUAUGGGUCAGGUAACAGUUUUCUUUGAAAUAUUUAUUACUUUUUCGUGUUUUGGAAUCCUAAUGUUUGGGAACUUUUAUUUUUAUUGAAAUAUCUAUGUCAACGUCUUCAUUAAUUGUGAUUCAUUAGUCCUAACACAAUAUUUACUGAUACCCUGUAAAUCCCUUUUUUAAAAUAUAACAAAAUUCCAUUUUCAGUUAUAGCUUCUUUUAUCAAUGGAUUUUUUGACAAUAUUUAAAACUUUUUAAGUACUUAUUGUUUUACAACUUAAUAAUUAUAAUAAAGUAUAAUAUAAUGAUCAGACACAGUUCAGCAGUAAAUACUUCAAAAUGGAUCAUAUUGCUUUUUAAUUUUUUUACAUCUAGGUAUAUUUUUUAAGAGUGUGGUGGUAUAAAGUAGCUACUCUCCAAACAAUUCAAGUGAUAGUAAUGUCUGUUUAUUCGUCUGGUUUUUUCACAAUUCUUUAACAUAUGUCAUACUUAUUCUUAUGAAGAAACAUAUAUAUAAGUAGUAUUUAAGGAUUAAAACAGUUAAGAUGACACCAUAUAUAGUUUGUGCUCAAAUGUACAAAAAAAGUGUAAACUGUCAUCUAUGAUAAUUAUAAUCUAAAACAACAAAGCAUUCAAGGCAUUUUGGAGACUCAUUUUCAAGCUCAAGUCUUAGCAAUUCAAGGUUAAAACUAUGUAAAUAGAUAAUUUCUAUAAAAG
rnacentral:lncRNA from 1 species